AGUUUUCGGACAAUGGAUGUAGAGGAAAGUGGCGGACGGGUGAGUAACGCGUGGGUAACCUGCCUCACACUGGGGGAUAACAGUUAGAAAUAGCUGCUAAUACCGCAUAAGCGCACGGUUCCGCAUGGAACAGUGUGAAAAACUCCGGUGGUAUGAGAUGGACCCGCGUCUGAUUAGCUUGUUGGCGGGGUAACGGCCCACCAAGGCGACGAUGCAUAGCCGACCUGAGAGGGUGAUCGGCCACACUGGGACUGAGACACGGCCCAGACUCC
rnacentral:rRNA from 1 species